GCCAGACUCCUACGGGAGGCAGCAGUGGGGGAUAUUGCACAAUGGGGGGAACCCUGAUGCAGCGACGCCGCGUGGGUGAAGGAGCGUUUCGGCGCGUAAAGCCCUAUCGGCAGGGAAGAAGGAGGACGGUACCUGACUAAGAAGCCCCGGCUAACUACGUGCCAGCAGCCGCGGUAAUACGUAGGGGGCAAGCGUUAUCCGGAUUUACUGGGUGUAAGGGGGGCGCAGACGGCAGCGCAAGCCAGGAGUGAAAGCCCGGGGCCCAACCCCGGGACUGCUCUUGGAACUGCGCGGCUGGAGUGCAGGAGGGGCAGGCGGAAUUCCUGGUGUAGCGGUGAAAUGCGUAGAUAUUAGGAGGAACACCAGUGGCGAAGGCGGCUUACCGGACUGUAACUGACGUUGAGGCUCGAAAGCGUGGGGAGCAAACAGGAUUAGAUACCCGUGUAU
rnacentral:rRNA from 1 species